rnacentral:rRNA from 1 species
UACGAGUGCCCCAAGCGUUAUCCGGAAUCAUUGGGCGUAAAGGGUGUGUAGGUGGUUGUGUUAGUCUUGUGUCAAAUUCUUCGGCUUAACCGGGGGUCCGCACGGGAAACGGCACAACUAGAGGAUGCGAGAGGUAUAUGGAACUCAUAGUGGAGGGGUGAAAUCCGUUGAUAUUAUGGGGAACACCAAAAGCGAAGGCAAUAUACUGGCGCAUUCCUGACACUGAAACACGAAAGCGUGGGUAGCGAAUGGG